rnacentral:rRNA from 1 species
GAUGAACGCUGGCGGCGUGCCUAAUACAUGCAAGUCGAGCGAACGGACGAGAAGCUUUCUUCUCUGAUGUUAGCGGCGGACGGGUGAGUAACACGUGGAUAACCUACCUAUAAGACUGGGAUAACUUCGGGAAACCGGAUCUAAUACCGGAUGAUAUUUUGAACCGCAUGGUUCAAAAGUGAAAGACGGUCUUGCUGUCACUUAUAGAUGCAUCCGCGCUGCAUUAGCUAGUUGGUAAGGUAACGGCUUACCAAGGCAACGAUGCAUAGCCGACCUGAGAGGGUGAUCGGCCACACUGGAACUGAGACACGGUCCAGACUCCUACGGGAGGCAGCAGUAGGGAAUCUUCCGCAAUGGGCGAAAGCCUGACGGAGCAACGCCGCGUGAGUGAUGAAGGUCUUCGGAUCGUAAAACUCUGUUAUUAGGGAAGAACAUAUGUGUAAGUAACUGUGCACAUCUUGACGGUACCUAAUCAGAAAGCCACGGCUAACUACGUG